rnacentral:rRNA from 1 species
UAUGGUAGAGAUAUCAUAGCUAGCAAUAGUCUGUAUCGAGGUGCUGCAUGGUUGUCGUCAGCUCGUGCCGUGAGGUGUCGGCUUAAGUGCCAUAACGAGCGCAACCCUUGUCGUUAGUUACCAUCAGUAAAGUUGGGGACUCUAGCGAGACUGCCACCGUAAGGUGUGAGGAAGGGGGGAUGACGUCAAAUCAGCACGGCCCUUACGUCCGGGGCGACACACGUGUUACAAUGGUAGGUACAGAGGGGCGCUAUCCAGUGAUGGAGUGCGAAUCUCAAAAACCUAUCUCAGUUCGGAUUGGAGUCUGCAACUCGACUCCAUGAAGUUGGAUUCGCUAGUAAUCGCGCAUCAGCCAUGGCGCGGUGAAUACGUUCCCGGGCCUU